rnacentral:tRNA from 1 species
UAUUUACUGCCUAGUGGACAUGGCAUCUGCCCGGUAAGCGGAAUGUUGUGGGUUCGAUUCCCGCCCCUGGACAC